rnacentral:rRNA from 1 species
GUGAGGAAUAUUGCGCAAUGGAGGCAACUCUGACGCAGCCAUGCCGCGUGCAGGAAGAAGGCGCUACGCGUUGUAAACUGCUUUUAACCGGGAAGAAACCCCAGGACGUGUCCUGGGUUGACGGUACCGGAGGAAUAAGCACCGGCUAACUUCGUGCCAGCAGCCGCGGUAAUACGAAGGGUGCAAGCGUUAUCCGGAUUCAUUGGGUUUAAAUGGUGCGUAGGCGGAGCGUUAAGUCAGUGGUGAAAUCCUGCAGCUUAACUGUAGACUUGCCAUUGAUACUGGCGCUCUUGAGUGCGCUUGAAGUGGGCGGAAUGUGCCGUGUAGCGGUGAAAUGCUUAGAUAUGGCACAGAACACCAAUUGCGAAGGCAGCUCACUAAGGCGAUACUGACGCUGAGGCACGAAAGCGUGGGGAUCGAACAGGAUUAGAAACCCUAGUAGUCC